GACGUAGGGCGCGAGCGUUGUCCGGAUUUAUUGGGCGUAAAGAGCUCGUAGGCGGCUUGUUGCGUCGGCUGUGAAAUCCCUCGGCUCAACCGAGGAACUGCGUCCGAUACUGGCGAGGCUUGAAUUCGGGAGAGGGAUGUGGAAUUCCAGGUGUAGCGGUGAAAUGCGUAGAUAUCUGGAGGAACACCGGUGGCGAAGGCGGCAUCCUGGACCGAGAUUGACGCUGAGGCGCGAAAGCUAGGGUAGCAAACGGG
rnacentral:rRNA from 1 species